UUAUUUAUUCUGAGGCCACUUGAUCCAACAAAAGUUACCUAACUAUGCACACAAAUGGAUGAUCAGACCAAAAACAUACAAACAUUAAGCAUUGAAGGAAGCAUUGAACACAGAAAACAUAAUCAAUUAGAUAUUAGGUAUUUACAUCAGUUGUUCAUUAGAAAUCCCUAUCUAGGGUGUUUAGCCAGCUAUUACAGAAGAAACCCUAACAAUAAUAAGCUUACAAAACCUAGGUAUCUCUGCAAAAGUUGCUCCUUUUGCUGCCUCCAGAGCUCUUUUCCUGAAGUAGGCAUUGUGGUGUGCUCUGGAAUUUGUGCCAAUCAUCUGCUUAAAGUUUGUACCCUAAUUUUACACAAGACAGGCUUUAAAUAGGCUCUGAAUUCGAGACAUUGCGCUUAGCGCCACCCUUGCGCUUAGUGCGAGUAAGUGGAUUCGGGCUUAACGCCAGUCGUGCGCUGAGCUUGGCUGAAGACACCUACUGCGCUUAACGCACUGAUCUCGCGCUUAGCGCACGGCCUUGAUGCUGAUGCCUUGCCAGAUUCUUCUAUCGCGCUAAGCGCGCUGAAGCUGCACUUAGCGGUGGAUGCGUGCUUAGCCCACUGAUGAGCUAAGCUUAACUAUCACUUUUGGCACUUCAUUACUUAGCCUCUUUUUUUACCUGAAAUUGCACAUAUUUCAUCAUUAAAUCCAAUGGACAUAUUCUAGAGACAGCUUUAUCCAUAAAACAAAAUUUAUUUACAAAAAUUCUAAAAAAUAACCAUAAAUUGGGGAACUAUGCAAGUUUUGGAAAAUGAUUUCUAUACAAAAGUUAGUCGUAUAAAGUGACUAAUAGUAGGCUAAGAAGUUUUUCAACCAUUCAACGCCACUACUAGCCAACUCUAGAGCUAUGAACUCUGAUUCCAUGGUUGAUCUUGCAAUUAUGGAUUGUUUGGUUGAUCUCCAUGCAACCGCACCACCACCAAGUGUGAAAACAUAACCAAUAAUGGACUUUGUCUCAUCUAAAUCAGAGAUCCAGUUAGCAUCAUUGUACCUUUCUAGUAUAAUGAGAAAUCCACUAUAAUCAAUACCAUAUUCUAUGGCACCUCUCAAGUAUCUAAUAAGUCUUACAAGAGCUUCCCAAUGGUCUUUAUUAGGAUUAUGAGUAUAUAUACUUAGUUUGCCUACUGCGUAUGCAAUGUCUGGUCUUGAAAAGUUCAUUAGAUGUAGUAGACUCCCAAUAAUUUAGGCAUACUAAGUUUGGUCAAUAGAGUUUCCUCUAUUUUUCUUCAACGGUGAGUUAGCAUCAUAAGGAGUACUCACUAGGUUAAGGUCAUAGUAACCAAACCUCUUAAGAAAUUUCUCAACAUAAUGUCCUUGGGAUAGUAGGAUACUAUCGGCCUUUCUUACAAUUCUAACUCCUAAGAUAAAACUUGCUUCUCCAAUGUCUUUCAUGUCAAACUUAGAAGUAAGAAAAGCUUUGGUCCUAAGGACUAUAUCAAUACAAGUACUAAAGAUCAACAUAUCAUCCACAUACAAACAAAAAAUCACAUAAUCACUAUUUUUAAAUCUUGUGUAAACACAAUUAUCAUCUUCAAUAUAUGAAAAACCAUCAUCAAGCAAAGCAUGGUUGAAUUUAUCAUGCCACUAUUUAGGUGCUUGUUUAAGUCCAUAUAGGGAUUUUAAGAGUUUGCACACUUUGUUUUCUUGACCAAGUAUAACACGCCUUUCAGGUUGAGUCAUAUAGAUCUCUUCCUCUAGAUCACCAUUGAAAAAAGCAGUCUUUACAUUCAUCAGGUGAAUCACCAACUUAUGUAUGGAAGCUAAAGCUAUCAACACUCAAAUAGAGGAAAUCCUAGUCAUAGGGGCAAAGGUGUCAAAGAAAUCCAACCUUUUAGCUACCAAUCUGGCUUUAUACUUGUCAAUAGAUCCAUCAAGGUUGUACUUCUUCUUAAAGAUCCAUGUACACCCUAUUGGUUUCGCUCCUUGGGGUAGGUCUACUAAGGUCCAUGUGUCAUUCUUCUUAAUAGAGUCAAUUUUUAUCUUAAUCACUUGUUCCUAAGAGAGUGCAUCAAAAGAACUAAUGGCUUCAAUGAAACUUAUAAGGUCAUCCUCAACAAGGUAGGUAUAAAAAUCAUCUCCAAUGGAUGCUUCUUUCCUUUGUCUUUUACUUCUUCUUAGGUCCUAGCCAUGAACUCACUAUGGUUUUCAAAGGAUUGUUCUAGGUUGAUCCUCAAACUAUCACUGUUGGUUCCUGUAGGUUGCCUAGAUUUCAAAGGAAACACAUCUUCAAAAAAUUCAACAUUCUUUGUCUCUACCAUUGUGUUGACAUCAAGCACAUCACUUUUUAACACUGGGAACCUAUAGACAACACUAUGAUUUGCAUAAUCGAUAAGCAAGAAAUCAGAAAGUCUUAGAGCAUAUUUUCCUUUUCUUAGGGUUGAUCAGCAUAACUUUGGCUAGGCACCCCUACACUCUUAGAUGUUUUAGGUUGGGUAGAUAGCAUUUCCAUAACUCAUAAGGUGUUUUGCCAAUUUUCCUGUAGGGGAUCCUAAUUUUGUAAGAAACAGGCGAUUAACACGGCUUCUCCCCAAAGGUUGCUAGAUGCAAAGGAACUAACUAGCAUGCCAUUCAUCAUUUCCUUAGGGGUGCUAUUUUUCCUCUCAGGUACUCCAUUUGACUUGGGUGAAUAAGGUGGGGUUACUCCAUGUAUGAUGCAUUCCUUCUCACAAAAGUCAGUGAAAGUCUACAUGACAUGAGGCCAAUGCCUAAAUUUCAAGUAUAGAAUUAUCUACACCUCUCAUUAUGACCUCAAAAGUUAAUUUGGUCACCUAAAUAAAAUGCAAUAGCAUACAUAACAUGCUACAUAAAUCUACAUAUAAGAAUGAUUAAUACAAGUUUAUCAUGACAUAUCAUCAAAGGUAUUAUUAAAUGAAGAACCUAUGCUUGCUUUCCAACUGCAUUAGAGAGACCUCUCAAACCAAAUCAUUAGAUGUAUAUGACUACAUCAAAAGGCUUCAACUAAAAAGUUGUUGAGGUAAAUUCCAACAAGGUCUUGGUCCCCUUAAGCAAGUUCCAUUAGAAAGACUUCUUGGACCAAAUCAUUAGAUUAGAUGACUAUCAACAAGUCGUUGGUCCGAGUAGUACUAAACUCAGUCACCCUAAUUAAGCAUUCCGUAAUUGAAUAAGAAUAAGAACAAAUCUAUCAUUCCGUAAUUAUUCCUAUACAACUAUGGAUUAAGCAAUUCAUAAUAUUCAUUUGGUUAUGGAUUGUUUAAUCCAUAACUUUGUGAGAGAAAAAUACUUACCAGAUGAUGACUUUAAAUAGCAACCUCACUGUCUGUGGAGGAAGGACAAUAGAAGAACCUCAAUAACACAUUCUACAGUUCAAACAAAAGCUUUGCGAAAGCAAAAACAUCAACCAUAAAGGUAGAGUGACAAAAGGAGAAUGAGAAUGAGGAGGAAUCAUGAGACCUUAAUGGGAGAGGGGGAUCACAGUGAAGAAUAAUGGAUGGCGGGGGGGGGGGGGGGAAGGAACUGUCAAUUUGGGAGAAAGAAGGUGACAUAGUUUGAAGUUAUAAUAAACAAGGGUAUUGUGGGAUUAAAAAUUAUGGGGUGCACCUAGUAAAAAUAUGGGAUGAAUUAAGUAAUUGUCCGGUUGUGUCCACUCAAAGACCCAAACAAUUGCAAGCUGACUAAAAAAGAUAGGAGGAAAAAAUAGGAAUAAAUUAAAAAUAGGUAGAGAAGGAGCCCAAAAGAUUAAAUUAAAAACAAGAGAACAUAAAUAGGCAAGACUACUUACGAAAUGCCCACCAUUGAUUAUGGAUGUGAUGUUCUUGUCAAGAUCGCAAGAAUUGUGCUAACUCUUGUGCAUACACAUCAAUUUACCAAUAUGAAAAGCAUGACAUGUGUGAAGUAUGUAAUUGUUAAAUUAUUCGCAACAAUAGGCAUUCUGCAUCAAAACGGUGACGGUGCAAUAGUAAUUAAAGCAGCACCACGGACCCUAUAAUUUGAUAGAUGAAAUACACAUUAGAACGAUGUAUGUGAUCA
rnacentral:lncRNA from 1 species